rnacentral:rRNA from 1 species
GAUGAACGCUAGCUACAGGCUUAACACAUGCAAGUCGAGGGGAAACGGCAUUAAGUGCUUGCACUUUUUGGACGUCGACCGGCGCACGGGUGAGUAACGCGUAUCCAACCUUCCCAUGACUAAGGGAUAACCUGCCGAAAGGCAGACUAAUACCUUAUGGUCUUCACUGACGGCAUCAGAUGUGAAGUAAAGAUUUAUCGGUUAUGGAUGGGGAUGCGUCUGAUUAGCUUGUUGGCGGGGUAACGGCCCACCAAGGCAACGAUCAGUAGGGGUUCUGAGAGGAAGGUCCCCCACAUUGGAACUGAGACACGGUCCAAACUCCUACGGGAGGCAGGAGUGAGGAAGAUUGGUCAAUGGGCGAGAGCCUGAACCAGCCAAGUAGCGUGCAGGAGGACGGCCCUAGGGGUUGUAAACUGCUUUUGUAUGGGGAUAAAGUCAAUCACGUGUGAUUGUUUGCAGGUACCAUACGAAUAAGGACCGGCUAAUUCCGUG